rnacentral:lncRNA from 12 species
AAAGUGAGAGGAAGCCAGUCCCCUCCUGAAUAUAGCCAUCGUCAGCUGAUGGGUCCCUGGGGGCCCUCCAUUCACAAAUGCUUUUGCCUUUCUUCUCUUGCUUUGUUUCAUGUGCUGUGAAGCAUUCAUCACGUGGUAAUUAAUUAUCUGUGGAUAUUGGUUUGGUUUAAUGCUUGUCAGACCAGAAGGUAGGGCCUUGUUCUCACUGGCCGGCAGAGGGGGUGGCUCAUGGAAGUUUCUACAGUAUUUUUGCUUGCUGACUAACCGACUUGAGCUUUGAGGCAAGGAUAGCCUCUGAUGAGAACCCUGGGGAAGUGAGCUUCCUGGGAGAAUAGUGGGGUGCAGGGAGGCCUGGAGAGGGGCUCACAGGUCUGAGCUGAGGGACAGAAUGUACUUACUCAAGUGGGAUAUCCACAGGGACUGUCUGGCUAAGGAGGAGGGAUGAGAUGUCACUUCCAGAAGUCUUCCCGAGUGCCACGGGUAGGGUGGUGACUCUGUGGCUGUCUGACCCCCCUGCCAUCUGCCCUAUCCAGAGGUAGUUUUGGCCUGAUACACAGCUGAGCAGAGAGAUGGAGUAAGGAGUAGGAUUUCUUGUCUGGACUGAAUGGAGGCCCCCGUUUCCAGGAUCCCAAAUGUCCCAAUGGAAAGUGCCAGGAGCUGCCAAUAGAUGUAUAGAGCUCAACUAAGUUAGCAGGAGAAUCUAGGAGGCAGGAGCCAUCACUAACCGUCCCUUUACAGAUGAAGAAACUGAAACUUUCAACAGAUAACCGGGUCACGUGAGAUUUCACAGCUAGUAAGCGAAGGAUCAGGAUAUGGCCCUCGCCUGUCUAGAGCAUAUGCACCACUGAGCCUCACUGAGAAGACCUUGACCUCUUUAUGCCGGGACUCCCCUGCCAAGGUCCUGGGAUUCCUCAUCCAGAUCUGGUACAAUGAGAGACAAGUGUUAGAUCGGAUGGAUGGAGAAUCAGGCAUUGUGCUGCCCAGUCCUGGAAUUAAACCCCAGCUUGAGAGGCGGGUGCCAUCCUUCCCCAUGACAACUGCAGCUCAAGAAGCUUCCUGACUUGUCCCGGAUCAUCCAGCCAAGAGGCAGUUGGGACUCCAAAGUCUGGACCAAUACAGCAGGCAACACCAAUACUUGUGGAAAUACUACAGGGAGCCCUGGAGCUCGGAGGGAAGUGCCCAGUAUAAUCGGAAAUGCAUGGCUCAGUCACACUGGGUGAUGGGCACUGAGGGGGGCACUUGGCGGGAUGAGCACUGGGUGUUAUGCUAUAUGUUGGCAAAUUGAACUCCAAUAAAAAAAAUUAAAAAUAAAUAAAUAAAUAAAUA